rfam:Populus trichocarpa isolate Nisqually-1 chromosome 15, whole genome shotgun sequence.
UAAUUUGAUUGUGAAAAAAUUCACCAUUUAACCAUAUCAAAUCAUUAUUUAAAUGUUCAAAACUUUUGAUUUUCACAACUCCGACUGCAUGAGCCAAGGACCUAUCCCUACCGAGGUAAUCGAGACAAUUGUUUCAACAUAUA